CCGAUACCCCAUCCAGUUCGCUAUUUUGAUAACUCAGGUUUAGGCCUUUGUCCAGAAGAGCCAGCUGCUGGAGGGGAGAAUGUGGAUCCUCAGUCAGCUGCUUGUCAGGCCUUCUCAGAAAAGCACCUGCCGGAGUGCAAGAUGCAGUAGUCACCUGUCACUUUUCCGGGCCCCGCAUUCCUCCGCUGUUACUUCAUGUGUCUAUGCCUGGCGAUUAUGUCACAGUACAACUUAAUUUCAGUUCUGUUUUAGUUUUGCCACUAGAUUGAAAGGUGAAGGAACAGGAGAUUGAGGCAUUCUAGUAGUUUAGGUGAUAGCAAUGUCGUCGUCUUGAAUGUCAUACUAAGAAGUGGAACUGUCUUAUUUAUUUAUAUAUUUUUAAAGAAUAAAGUUAUUGAAGGAAACUUUAACUUAUAUCCAUUUGUAUUACUGUAGCAUUAUCCACAUGGAACUUAACAAAAUUAUAAAUUCUUUGUUUAGUACCUUGAACAUUCAGUCAGUAAUUAGUACUGAAUCCAACUCCUAUAAUAUUAACUAAUGCUUUUCUGGUAGGAUAUUUAGGAUAUCUUUGGUUCUCCUGUCUCAUUUGUUAAUAUUUAGAAUUUUGCUAAUGAACAAAAUGAAUCGACCAACAAAAUAAGAUCUGAAGCAUGGAGGCAUGGAACAGACUGACAUGCCUCGGUGAGGGGGUAGAGAGAUGAAGAGAUACACCAAAGAACUGAUACCCUGUGGACACUGGCAAUAGGGAAGUGAAGGCAUGGAUGGGGAGGGGCUGGCCGGAGGAAGGUAGAGGAGGGGAGGAUGGGGGACAUCUGUAAUACUAUCAAUAAUAAAAAUAUUUUUAAGUGAUGUAAUUGCUAGGGAAAAAUGCACAUGCUUUCUGGAUUUAAAUUGUUAUGGGAUAGUAAAUGCUAUGACCAUUUUUUUA